rnacentral:misc_RNA from 1 species
GAUGAAGAACGUAGUGAAAUGCGAUAAGUAAUGUGAAUUGCAGAAUUCAGUGAAUCAUCGAAUCUUUGAACGCACAUUGCGCCCCCUGGUAUUCCGGGGGGCAUGCCUGUCCGAGCCUCAUUACAACCCUCAAGCUCAGCUUGGUGUUGGGCCCCGCCGCCCCGGCGGGCCCUAAAGUCAGUGGCGGUGCCGUCCGGCUCCGAGCGUAGUAAUUCUUCUCGCUCUGGAGGUCCGGUCGUGUGCUCGCCAGCAACCCCCAAUUUUUUUCAGGUUGACCUCGGAUCAGGUAGGGAUACCCGCUGAACUUAAGCAUAUCAAUAAGCGGAGGA